ACGCACGCUGGCGGCGUGCUUAACCCCUGCCCGUCGAACGGAAAGGCCCUGCUUUUGUGGGGUGCUCGAGUGGCGAACGGGUGAGUAACACGUGAGUAACCUGCCCUUGACUUUGGGAUAACUUCAGGAAACUGGGGCUAAUACCGGAUAGGAGCUCCUGCUGCAUGGUGGGGGUUGGAAAGUUUCGGCGGUUGGGGAUGGACUCGCGGCUUAUCAACUUGUUGGUGGGGUAGUGGCUUACCAAGGCUUUGACGGGUAGCCGGCCUGAGAGGGUGACCGGCCACAUUGGGACUGAGAUACGGCCCAGACUCCUACGGGAGGCAGCAGUGGGGAAUAUUGCACAAUGGGCGGAAGCCUGAUGCAGCAACGCCGCGUGCGGGAUGACGGCCUUCGGGCUGUAAACCGCUUUCGCCUGUGACGAAGCGUGAGUGACGGUAAUGGGUAAAGAAGCACCGGCUAACUACGUG
rnacentral:rRNA from 1 species